UCUCUGGGGGGCAACUUCCAGAGAUAGUGGCGAACGGCUGAGUAACGCGUGAGUUACCUGACCUUGGGCGGGGGACAACGUCGAGAAAUCGGCGCUAAUACCGCAUAUCAUCGUCGGUCCCUGGGCUGGCGAUGAAAGUCCGCAAGGACACCCGAGGAGGGGCUCGCGCCCUAUCAGGUAGUUGGCGGGGUAAUGGCCCACCAAGGGAAAGACGGGUAGCUGGUCUGAGAGGACGACCAGCCAGAGGGUGAUCUGACACGGCGGAGACUCCUACGGANAUUCAAGUGGAGU
rnacentral:misc_RNA from 1 species